rnacentral:lncRNA from 1 species
AGUGAGAACUUGUCUCAAAAAAAGAAAAGAAAAUGUAUCCAGGAGGUAGGACCAAAAAACAUUUAAACUCUUUGUGUCCAGGAAUAGAGCAGAGACCUUGAAAAGGCAGAAUUAAGUAUAAUUGCUGUGGUCUGAAUGUUUGUGUCCCCCGCUAAUUCGUAUGUUGAAAUUCUAACCCCCAAGGUGAGGAUGGUAUUUAGAAAGCAGGCCUUUGGAGGCCUAGGGCAUGAGGGCAGAGUCCUAUGAAUCAACUAAGUGCCCUUUUAAAAGGGCCUCUGCCCCUUCCACCAAGUGAGGACACAGCAAGAAGUCAUGCUCUAUGAGAAAGCUGGCUCUCACCAGACACCAGAUCUGCUGGCACCUUGAUCUUGGACUUCUCAGACUUCAAAACUGUGAGAAAUAAGUUUCUGUUGUGUAUUAGCUACCCAGUUUACGGUAUUUUGUUGCAACAGCAUGAACAACCUAGGACAAUAAUUUUAAUGUGUAAAAUUAAAUUUAAAUGUUAAAUUAAGUUUAGCCUAAAGCUACUUCCUUACAUAUUUUAAGUUCAGCCUAAAGGUUUCUCCAUACAUAGUGAACUGUAACCUAACUGAAUGUGCAAACAGACUAUGACCUGCUCUUGUGACAAGCAGCUGAGGCUCAGCCAAUCACAGCAGCUGAGUUUCAGCCAAUCACAGGUGGCCAACUGUUUGUAUAAGGCAAACACCCAGCUGUCACCAAUCCAGCUGUUUCUGUACCUCACUUCUGUCUUUAGUCCGUCACUUUCCUUUCUCCAUAAAUGUUAUUCAACCACGUAGUAGCCCCGGGUUUGCUCUGAACCUGUUCUGGUUCUGGGGGCAGCCCAACUAUUGUAUCAUUCUCUGCUCAAACACUGUUAAAUUUAAUUUGUCUAAAGUGUUUCUUUUAACAAAGAGAAGGUGUAUUAGAUUUCCACCUAAUUUGAAAAUUUCAAAGCCAUAAUGGAGAAGCGCAGGCACUACUGGUCAUUUUUGUCCAGUAGAUGGAGCCCUAGUAGAAAGGAAACAGUCUGGCAAGUAUCAAAAUUUCUCAGAGGAAGAUUUGAACGGGGAAUUCACUGUGGAUUCCACACCCUAAGAGUCCAUUAGGCAGCCUGCCAGAGUUCUCCCCAGCCAGUCUGAGUGAGAACUCCCAGCGGAAGGACCCUGAAAUGAACUAAUAAAGUAACCAGCAGGACAAAGCAAUGUGCCAUGGAAAGAACAACAGAUUUGAUUUUAAUCCGAAUGCCAAGAGUUUGUUUUUGCAAACAUACAAAACUUUAGGAAUUAAGGUGGGUUGGAGGUGGAUUUGUGAUACUCAUUGGAUUAGAAAUAAAAGGUUAACAAGUAUAUUAAAAUUAAAGCCAUAAGGCUGUGAUUUUAUGGUGUGUAUGUAUUUGAGGGAAAGAGGAAAAAAUACAUUUAAAAGGCUUGUAAUUCCCUAAAUACCCAUGACUUAUUAAUUAUACAUGGAGUAAUUAAUAAUACAUAGAGUAAUUAUUACAAUAAUACAUGGAGUAAUUAAAAUUUCUGCAACAUUUGAUUAUCAAGAUGUGAUAUAAUUUAUUGAAUUGGAUUAUAGUUUGUGGAUGUGCUUAGCGCUCUACUACUUUUUAAAAUGCUCUCCCACACAUCAUCAUCAGAGCACAUCUCAGAGAUGGAAAUUUGUGAUUUGCCCAAGGUUAGUGGGGCAACUGAUAAAAAAAGGAUCCUGUCUUACAUACUCCCACCCUUUGUUGUAAGCUCCUGUUGGAUGCCAAGAAUCACCUGCUGCCUUAGUUCUUUGAACAGGUUUUAUGUGUUUGAUGGAAAAAGGGCACUUUUCAAGAGAGAGAAUAGCUGAGCUUUGAAGAAUGGAAUGACCAGGAUCUGAGUAGAGAGAGUGGCAGGAAGGGGAGCUGGGGCUAGGCAAGCUUGGGUUCACAGAGCUGCCCCUCUCUUAUCUACCUGGUGGAGGGGGAGUAGAGAUCAUGAUACUCCAACCCCUCUCUUCAUGAACCUGGAGUAGGGAGAGUAGAAGAGAGAGGGAACAGGGGAAUCUCAUAAGAUUGCUUGGUAGCAUAACGACCUCGGCGAAUUUAAAGUGGAACUGAGGUCCUUAGUCUUAGUCCAUUUGUGCUGCUAUAACAAAGUAUCUUACACUGGGUAAUUUAUAAACAACAGAAAUGUAUUGCUCACAGUUCUGGAGGCUGGGAAGUCCAAGAUAAAGUGCCAGCAGGUUCAAUGUCUGGUAAGGGCUCAUUGCACAGAGAUGGUACCUCUUGCUGCAUUCUCACAUGGUAGAAGGGAGCAAACAGCCUCCUUUUAAUCUCCUUUACAUUAUCCCAUUUAUGAAGGCAGUCUUCAUGACUUAAUCACUUCCCCCAAAGUCUCCACCUCCAUGCUAUGACAUUGAGGAUUAAGUUUCAGCCUAUGAUUUUGGAAAGCAUACCAACAUUCAGACCAUAGAACCAGCCAAUGAGAUUGUGGGCUAUUCUUCCACCAUACUCAAUGGGCAAAGACAUGGAGUAGGGCAGAGAGCUGGAUUUAACCAGGGUUGGAGUUUGGCCAAGUGAGUUUAAAGUACAAUUAAAAGGACAAGGGAGUUUGGGAUCUAUUCAAGAGGGUGACUAUGAUGGACCAUCCAAUUUCAGUUGGAUAAGGAAGUUGAGGACAGCAAGUCACAGUCACAGUCUGAGCCAAUUCUCAGUGGCCAGGGCUAUAGAAGGACACAGGCCAUAAGAAGAUAAGGAGGAACCUUGCACUGCUGGCCUCUGACAAAUGCAAGCUCCACAAGGCCAGGAAUCUUUCCUGUCCAAUUCACCACAGCAGCCUCAACCUGGCAGACAGUUCAGCAUACAGCUAAAUAAUGGCUCCCAAAGAUGUGUCUACAUCCUAAUCUCCAGAAUCUGUGAAUGUUACUUUAUGUGGCAAGUACGUGGCAGAUGUAAUUAAGUCAAGGAUCUUUGGAUGGUUAUCCUGAAUUAUCUGGGUGGGCCCUAAAUACAAUCACAAGUGUCCUUAUAGGAGAGAGGCUGAAGGAGAUUUGGUACCAACAGAAGAGGAGGAGGAAAUUGUGAUCAUGCAGAAACUGGAGUGAUGGAGUCACAAGCCAAGGAAUGCCAGCAGCCACCAGAAGCCGAAAGAGGCCCUGCCAACACCUUGAUUUAGGCCUAAUGAAACUGAGUUUAGAUUUCUGGACCCCAGAACUGUGAAAGAAUAAAUUUCUGUUGUGUUAAGCCCCUAAUUUUGUGGUAAUGUGUCACAGCAGCCCUUGGAACCUAAUACACUCCCCAAGCCAUCACAAUGACGGUUAAGGGAAGUAAAACGAUAAAAUUCAUAAAGAUAAAGAGAAUAACAGAAAAGGAUUUCAAUAAGUGUUUGGAAGAUGGAAAAGGAAAGAAUGAGAAGCAACUUACUUAUCAGAGUAGAGAAAAUUACCUGAGAGCCUGGAGAAAGGGAAGUGAAUAAGACAGAGUCAGUUCUCCCCAGAGAAGCCAGACACAGGGUCAUUGAGCACCAAGCAGGGGCAGGAGUGGGGUGCAGGGCUGGCACUGGGGAUAGAGUGGAAACAUUAACAUGGACCUUGGAUCCCUGGGCCCUGACUCCUCUGACACUGGUCUUCCUGAACUAGCUGCAUCCCUUCUUGUCAUGCCCUCCACUCCAGUCCCUGCCCUUGACCCCACCACCACCACCUCAGCUGACACACAUCAGUUCAGCUCACACUCCUUCUGUUAGAAAGAACCAGUCACAAGGUUCUUCCUGAAUGCAAUGGGGCUGGGAAAUGCUGAGCAGUGCCAGGCACAGGCUUCCUCUAAACCACUCUGCACCAAGGAAGAAGGACAUUUUUUUGAUGGUCUAAUACCCGUCUCUGCCACACUCUCUAAGGCAAUUAAUUUUAAAAUUUUAGAAUACUGGAAAUAAAGAAAAGAUACUAAAAACUUCCAGAAUGAAAAACCAGGUCACAUAUUGCCUUAUGGAUCAGCAAUCUGACUGGCAUCAGCCUUUUCAAUAGCAAUACAAAAUGCCAGAAGACAACAGGGCAAUGCCCUCAAAAUUCUGAGAGAAAAUAUCUUGCUAAUAAAACAUCUAUUACACCUAGCAAGCAGCCAUCCCAAAGGCAGAAGGCUGUGAAAGAACAAAAGGGAGCUAUCUAGGGAGAAAAACAUAACUGUUAAUUAUUAUUAUAAUAAUAAUAUAUUUUUAGAGACAAGGUCUCUGUCAACCCAUGCUGAGGUG